rnacentral:rRNA from 1 species
UCGAGUGAAUCGUGGUUAAGGAAUUCGGCAAAAUACCCCCGUAACUUCGGGAGAAGGGGGGCCCAGAGGGUGACGGGACUUGCUCCCCGAGCCUGAACGGCCGCAGAGACCAGGGAGAAGCGACUGUUUACUAAAAACACAGGUCCGUGCCAAGUCGCAAGACGAUGUAUACGGACUGACGCCUGCCCGGUGCUGGAACGUUAAGGGGACCGGUUAGCCUCACGGCGAAGCUGAGAACUUAAGCGCCAGUAAACGGCGGUGGUAACUAUAACCAUCCUAAGGUAGCGAAAAUCCUUGUCGGGUAGUUCCGACCUGCACGAAUGGCGUAACGACUUCUCCACUGUCUCAACCACGAACUCGGCGAAAUUGCACUACGAGUAAAGAUGCUCGUUACGCGCAGAAGGACGGAAAGACCCCGGGACCUUUACUACAGCUUGGUAUUGGUGUUCGGUACGGCUUGUGUAGGAUAGGUGGGAGACUGUGAAGCUGACACGCCAGCGUCGGUGGAGUCAACGUUGAAAUACCACUCUGGUCGUUCUGGAUAUCUAACCUAGGUCCGUAAUCCGGAUCAGGGACAGUGCCUGGUGGGUAGUUUAACUGGGGCGGUUGCCUCCUAAAAGGUAACGGAGGCGCCCAAAGGUUCCCUCAGCCUGGUUGGCAAUCAGGUUUCGAGUGUAAGUGCACAAGGGAGCUUGACUGUGAGACUGACAAGUCGAACAGGGACGAAAGUCGGGACUAGUGAUCCGGCGGUGGCUUGUGGAAGCGCCGUCGCUCAACGGAUAAAAGGUACCCCGGGGAUAACAGGCUGAUCUUGCCCAAGAGUCCAUAUCGACGGCAUGGUUUGGCACCUCGAUGUCGGCUCGUCGCAUCCUGGGGCUGGAGUAGGUCCCAAGGGUUGGGCUGUUCGCCCAUUAAAGCGGUACGCGAGCUGGUUUUAGAACGUCGUGAGACAGUUCGGUCCCUAUCCUCUGCGCGCGCAGGAAACUUGAGAAGGGCUGUCCCUAGUACGAGAGGACCGGGAUGGACGAACCUCUGGUGUGUCAGUUGUUCUGCCAAGAGCACCGCUGAUUAGCUACGUUCGGGAGUGAUAACCGCUGAAAGCAUCUAAGCGGGAAGCAUGCUUCAAGAUGAGGUUUCCAUGGGUUUACCCCGAGAGGCUCCCAGCUAGACUACUGGGUUGAUAGGCCGGAUGUGGAAGUGCGGUAACGCAUGGAGCUGACCGGUACUAAUAAGCCGAUAACUUGAUU